rnacentral:rRNA from 1 species
AACGAACGCUGGCGGCGUGCCUAACACAUGCAAGUCGAACGAGACCUUCGGGUCUAGUGGCGCACGGGUGCGUAACGCGUGGGAACCUGCCCUUAGGUUCGGAAUAACUCCCCGAAAGGGGUGCUAAUACCGGAUAAUGUCUUCGGACCAAAGAUUUAUCGCCUUUGGAUGGGCCCGCGUUGGAUUAGCUAGUUGGUAGGGUAAAAGCCUACCAAGGCGACGAUCCAUAGCUGGUCUGAGAGGAUGAUCAGCCACACUGGGACUGAGACACGGCCCAGACUCCUACGGGAGGCAGCAGUGGGGAAUAUUGGACAAUGGGCGAAAGCCUGAUCCAGCAAUGCCGCGUGAGUGAUGAAGGCCUUAGGGUUGUAAAGCUCUUUUACCCGGGAUGAUAAUGACAGUACCGGGAGAAUAAGCUCCGGCUAACUCCGU